UACGUAGGGUGCGAGCGUUGUUCGGAUUCACUGGGCGUAAAGGGUGCGUAGGUGGUCGGGUAAGUCUGAUGUGAAAUCUCCGAGCUUAACUCGGAAAUGGCAUUGGAUACUAUUCGGCUAGAGGGUUUGAGGGGGGACUGGAAUACUUGGUGUAGCAGUGAAAUGCGUAGAUAUCAAGUGGAACACCAGUGGCGAAGGCGAGUCCCUGGAAAACUCCUGACACUGAGGCACGAAAGCUAGGGGAGCAAACAGG
rnacentral:rRNA from 1 species